GAUGAACGCUGGCGGCGUGCCUAAUACAUGCAAGUCGAGCGAACAGACGAGGAGCUUGCUCCUUCGACGUUAGCGGCGGACGGGUGAGUAACACGUGGAUAACCUACCUAUAAGACUGGGAUAACUUCGGGAAACCGGAGCUAAUACCGGAUAAUAUUUCGAACCGCAUGGUUCAAUAGUGAAAGAUGGCUUUGCUGUCACUUAUAGAUGGACCCGCGCCGCAUUAGCUAGUUGGUAAGGUAACGGCUUACCAAGGCAACGAUGCGUAGCCGACCUGAGAGGGUGAUCGGCCACACUGGAACUGAGACACGGUCCAGACUCCUACGGGAGGCAGCAGUAGGGAAUCUUCCGCAAUGGGCGAAAGCCUGACGGAGCAACGCCGCGUGAGUGAUGAAGGUCUUCGGAUCGUAAAACUCUGUUAUUAGGGAAGAACGAAUGUGUAAGUAACUGUGCACGUCUUGACGGUACCUAAUCAGAAAGCCACGGCUAACUACGUG
rnacentral:rRNA from 1 species